rnacentral:misc_RNA from 1 species
ACGCCGCUCGAGCCCCCGUGCUCGGUGUUGGGGCGCUAGGUCUCCCAGAGGCCUAGGCCCCCAAGUAGCAGUGCGCGGUCCGGCUGCGGGCCCCGGGUAGAGUAACUUCACCGUUGAGAUGCCCUGGGACUCGCUGGCCGGGUCAGCCGUAAAACCCCCGACAUAGGCCUCCCCCAACCCGCCCGCGGGUGACGGGAGACCGCCUAAUG